rnacentral:rRNA from 1 species
GAUCAUGGCUCAGGACGAACGCUGGCGGCGUGCUUAAUACAUGCAAGUCGAACGAAGCUGCUUGACGGAAAUCCUUCGGGAGGAAGACGAGUAGACUUAGUGGCGGACGGGUGAGUAACGCGUGAGCAAUCUGCCCAUAAGAGGGGGACAACAGUUGGAAACGACUGCUAAUACCGCAUAAGACCACAUUACCGCAUGGUAGAGGGGUCAAAGAGAUAUCGCUUAUGG